UAUCCUGUCUGAAUAUGGGGGGACCAUCCUCCAAGGCUAAAUACUCCUGACUGACCGAUAGUGAACCAGUACCGUGAGGGAAAGGCGAAAAGAACCCCGGCGAGGGGAGUGAAACAGAACCUGAAACCGUGUACGUACAAGCAGUGGGAGCAUGAGUUUACUCAUGUGACUGCGUACCUUUUGUAUAAUGGGUCAGCGACUUAUAUUCUGUAGCAAGGUUAACCGUAUAGGGGAGCCGCAGGGAAACCGAGUCUUAAUUGGGCGUUAAGUUGCAGGGUAUAGACCCGAAACCCGGUGAUCUAGCCAUGGGCAGGUUGAAGGUUGGGUAACACUAACUGGAGGACCGAACCGACUAAUGUUGAAAAAUUAGCGGAUGACCUGUGGCUGGGGGUGAAAGGCCAAUCAAACCGGGAGAUAGCUGGUUCUCCCCGAAAGCUAUUUAGGUAGCGCCUCGUGAACUCAUCUCCGGGGGUAGAGCACUGUUUCGGCCAGGGGGCCAUCCCGGCUUACCAACCCGAUGCAAACUGCGAAUACCGGAGAAUGUUAUCACGGGAGACACACGGCGGGUGCUAACGUCCGUCGUGAAGAGGGAAACAACCCAGACCGCCAGCUAAGGUCCCAAAGUCAUGGUUAAGUGGGAAACGAUGUGGGAAGGCCCAGACAGCCAGGAUGUUGGCUUAGAAGCAGCCAUCAUUUAAAGAAAGCGUAAUAGCUCACUGGUCGAGUCGGCCUGCGCGGAAGAUGUAACGGGGCUAAACCAUGCACCGAAGCUGCGGCAGCGACACUGUGUGUUGUUGGGUAGGGGAGCGUUCUGUAAGCCUGCGAAGGUGUGCUGUGAGGCAUGCUGGAGGUAUCAGAAGUGCGAAUGCUGACAUAAGUAACGAUAAUGCGGGUGAAAAACCCGCACGCCGGAAGACCAAGGGUUCCUGUCCAACGUUAAUCGGGGCAGGGUGAGUCGACCCCUAAGGCGAGGCCGAAAGGCGUAGUCGAUGGGAAACAGGUUAAUAUUCCUGUACCUGGUGUUACUGCGAAGGGGGGACGGAGAAGGCUAUGUUGGCCGGGCGACGGUUGUCCCGGUUUAAGCGUGUAGGCUGGUUUUCCAGGCAAAUCCGGAAAAUCAAGGCUGAGGCGUGAUGACGAGGCACUACGGUGCUGAAGCAACAAAUGCCCAGCUUCCAGGAAAAGCCUCUAAGCCUCAGGUAACAUCAGAUCGUACCCGAAACCGACACAGGUGGUCAGGUAGAGAAUACCAAGGCGCUUGAGAGAACCCGGGUGAAGGAACUAGGCAAAAUGGUGCCGUAACUUCGGGAGAAGGCACGCUGACACGUAGGUGAAGCGGUUUUACCCGUGGAGC
rnacentral:rRNA from 1 species